GACCCAUGGCUCAGUGGUAGAACACCUGCUUUGCAUGCAGAAGGUGGUAGGAUCAAUCCCCGAUGGCAUCU